AUUGAACGCUGGCGGCAUGCUUUACACAUGCAAGUCGAACGGCAGCGCGGGCUUCGGCCUGGCGGCGAGUGGCGAACGGGUGAGUAAUACAUCGGAACGUGCCCAGUAGUGGGGGAUAGCUCGGCGAAAGCCGGAUUAAUACCUCAUACGACCUGAGGGUGAAAGCGGGGGAUCUUCGGACCUCGCGCUAUUGGAGCGGCCGAUGGCAGAUUAGCUAGUUGGUGGGGUAAAGGCCUACCAAGGCGACGAUCUGUAGCUGGUCUGAGAGGACGACCAGCCACACUGGGACUGAGACACGGCCCAGACUCCUACGGGAGGCAGCAGUGGGGAAUUUUGGACAAUGGGCGAAAGCCUGAUCCAGCAAUGCCGCGUGUGUGAUGAAGGCCUUCGGGUUGUAAAGCACUUUUGGCGGGAACGAAAAGGACUGUGCCAAUACCACGGUUCGAUGACGGUACCCGCAGAAUAAGCACCGGCUAACUACGUG
rnacentral:rRNA from 1 species